CAAAUAGGUAGAACUGAAAUCUUCAUACUAAGUGAAUCCAGCCAGUCAUAAAGGCAAGUGUGAAAUGGGUUUCCUCAAAUGUGAAAUCAUGGAAAGAAGAGGAUAUAGAGGGAUGAAAACAGAAUAUUCAGGAGAUAUCUUCUGUGAAGUUUCUUAUCACUUGGACUGGAUUAUUUUUGUUACUUCAAAUGUUAGUGGCUGGUUCUUUUAUCAGCACUUCAUUUUAUAUCUGAGGAAGACUUGUGUUUUCUUCAUCUGAUGUUUUUAUAGUAAGCAUUUUAAUCAUGGCAUAGGAUCAUGUAACGCCCCAAGCACGUUGGCU
rnacentral:lncRNA from 1 species